AACCUUUAGCCAAUCUAAUAUUAAAGGCAACGCCUGCCCAGUGAAACUAUUCAACGGCCGCGGUACCCUAACCGUGCAAAGGUAGCGUAAUCAUUUGUCUAUUAAUUGUAGACCAGUAUGAAAGGCAACAUGAGAGCCAAACUGUCUCUUGCAGCUACUCAAUUAAACUGAUCUUUUAGUCCAAAAGCUAAAAUACCCAUAUAAGACCAGAAGACCCUGUGAAGCUUAAACUAAUCCGUUAAAUCGAAUAACGGUUACUUUCGGUUGGGGCGACCUUGGAACAAAAAAGAACUUCCAAUACAAUGAUAUCCAUCAUACCAAGGCUGACAAGCCACAAUACGACCCAGUCUACUGACUAAUGAACCAAGUUACUCCAGGGAUAACAGCGCCAUCUUCUUCAAGAGCCCAUAUCAAAAAGAAGGUUUACGACCUCGAUGUUGGAUCAGGACACCCUGGUGGUGCAGUCGCUACCAAGGGUUCGUUUGUUCAACGAUUAAUAGUCCU
rnacentral:rRNA from 1 species